UAACUUUAACGAAGAAGUAUUCUUUUCAUUUCCAAAAUUAAUAUAUCAUAUAUGUGUAUAUAUAUAUAUAUUCAAAUUUAGGAACAUGAUUAACUCCCACUAAUCAUUUGUAAACCUAGUAAACAAAAGAUUCAUUUACAUCUUUAUGAGAAAUCAAACGAUUUGAUCUUUUCUCUCAUAAGACGCUUAUAGCUCCCACUAGCUUGCUAAGAUUCAUGAUGGAUGGAUCUCCACAACUUACAUGUCUUGUGAUUCAUAGUUUUAGACAUAUAUUAUCAAGACUAUCUUAAUAA
rnacentral:lncRNA from 1 species